rnacentral:rRNA from 1 species
GCUUGCUCCUUUGACGUUAGCGGCGGACGGGUGAGUAACACGUAGGUAACCUACCUAUAAGACUGGGAUAACUUCGGGAAACCGGAGCUAAUACCGGAUGAUAUUUCGAACCGCAUGGUUCGAUAGUGAAAGAUGGCUUUGCUAUCACUUAUAGAUGGACCUGCGCCGUAUUAGCUAGUUGGUAAGGUAAGGGCCUACCAAGGCAACGAUACGUAGCCGACCUGAGAGGGUGAUCGGCCACACUGGAACUGAGACACGGUCCAGACUCCUACGGGAGGCAGCAGUAGGGAAUCUUCCGCAAUGGGCGAAAGCCUGACGGAGCAACGCCGCGUGAGUGAUGAAGGUCUUCGGAUCGUAAAACUCUGUUAUUAGGGAAGAACAAACGUGUAAGUAACUGUGCACGUCUUGACGGUACCUAAUCAGAAAGCCACGGCUAACUCCGUGCCAGCAGCCGCGGUAAUACGUAGGUGGCAAGCGUUAUCCGGAAUUAUUGGGCGUAAAGCGCGCGUAGGCGCUUCUUUUAACUCGGAUGUGAAAGCCCACGGCUCAACCGUGGAGGGUCAUUGGAAACUGGAGAACUUGAGUGCAAAAGAGGAAAGCGGAAUUCCCUGUGUAGCGGUGAAAUGNGGGAGAGAUAUGGAGGAACACCAGUGGCGAAGGCGACUUUCUGGUCUGUAACUGACGCUGAUGUGCGAAAGCGUGGCGAUCAAACAGGAUUAGAUACCCUGCUAGUCCACGCCGUAAACGAUGAGUGCUAAGUGUUAGGGGGUUUCCGCCCCUUAGCGCUGCAGCUAACGCAUUA